GGAGAAAAGCAGGGGAUCGCAAGACCUUGCGCUAAAGGAGCGGCCGAUGUCUGAUUAGCUAGUUGGUGGGGUAAAGGCUUACCAAGGCAACGAUCAGUAGUUGGUCUGAGAGGACGGCCAACCACACUGGGACUGAGACACGGCCCAGACUCCUACGGGAGGCAGCAGUGGGGAAUUUUGGACAAUGGGGGCAACCCUGAUCCAGCCAUGCCGCGUGAGUGAAGAAGGCCUUCGGGUUGUAAAGCUCUUUCGGCCGGGAAGAAAUCGCGCCAGCUAAUACCUGGUGUGGAUGACGGUACCGGAAGAAGAAGCACCGGCUAACUACGUGCCAGCAGCCGCGGUAAUACGUAGGGUGCGAGCGUUAAUCGGAAUUACUGGGCGUAAAGGGUGCGCAGGCGGUCUUGCAAGUCAGAUGUGAAAGCCCCGGGCUUAACCUGGGAAUUGCGUUUGAAACUACAAAGCUAG
rnacentral:rRNA from 1 species